UGGGGAAUAUUGGACAAUGGGCGAAAGCCUGAUCCAGCAAUGCCGCGUGUGUGAAGAAGGCCUGCGGGUUGUAAAGCACUUUCAGUGGGGAAGAAAAGCUCGGGGCUAAUACCUCCGGGCCUUGACGUUACCCACAGAAGAAGCACCGGCUAACUCCGUG
rnacentral:rRNA from 1 species